rnacentral:rRNA from 1 species
CCUACGGGAGGCUGCAGUAGGGAAUCUUCCGCAAUGGACGCAAGUCUGACGGAGCAACGCCGCGUGAGUGAAGAAGGUCUUCGGAUCGUAAAGCUCUGUUGUUAGAGAAGAACAGCGCAUAGAGUAACUGUUAUGCGUGUGACGGUAUCUAACCAGAAAGCCACGGCUAACUACGUGCCAGCAGCCGCGGUAAUACGUAGGUGGCGAGCGUUGUCCGGAUUUAUUGGGCGUAAAGGGAGUGUAGGCGGUCUUUUAAGUCUGAUGUGAAAGCCCACGGCUCAACCGUGGAGGGUCAUUGGAAACUGGGAGACUUGAGUGCAGAAGAGGAGAGCGGAAUUCCAUGUGUAGCGGUGAAAUGCGUAGAUAUAUGGAGGAACACCAGUGGCGAAGGCGGCUCUCUGGUCUGUAACUGACGCUGAGGCUCGAAAGCGUGGGGAGCAAACAGGAUUAGAUACCCGGGUAGUC